AAUGCAGUCGACGAUGAAGCCAGCUUGCUGGUGGAUUAGUGGCGAACGGGUGAGUAACACGUGAGUAACCUGCCCUUGACUCUGGGAUAAGCCUGGGAAACUGGGUCUAAUACCGGAUAUGACUGAUCAUCGCAUGGUGGUUGGUGGAAAGCUUUUGCGGUUUUGGAUGGACUCGCGGCCUAUCAGCUUGUUGGUGGGGUAAUGGCCUACCAAGGCGACGACGGGUAGCCGGCCUGAGAGGGUGACCGGCCACACUGGGACUGAGACACGGCCCAGACUCCUACGGGAGGCAGCAGUGGGGAAUAUUGCACAAUGGGCGAAAGCCUGAUGCAGCGACGCCGCGUGAGGGAUGACGGCCUUCGGGUUGUAAACCUCUUUCAGUAGGGAAGAAGCCGCAAGGUGACGGUACCUGCAGAAGAAGCGCCGGCUAACUACGUGCCAGCAGCCGCGGUAAUACGUAGGGCGCAAGCGUUAUCCGGAAUUAUUGGGCGUAAAGAGCUCGUAGGCGGUUUGUCGCGUCUGCCGUGAAAGUCCGGGGCUCAACUCCGGAUCUGCGGUGGGUACGGGCAGACUAGAGUGAUGUAGGGGAGACUGGAAUUCCUGGUGUAGCGGUGAAAUGCGCAGAUAUCAGGAGGAACACCGAUGGCGAAGGCAGGUCUCUGGGCAUUAACUGACGCUGAGGAGCGAAAGCAUGGGGAGCGAACAGGAUUAGAUACCCUGGUAGUCCAUGCCGUAAACGUUGGGCACUAGGUGUGGGGGACAUUCCACGUUUUCCGCGCCGUAGCUAACGCAUUAAGUGCC
rnacentral:rRNA from 1 species